rnacentral:rRNA from 1 species
UACGGAGGGUGCAAGCGUUAAUCGGAAUUACUGGGCGUAAAGGGUGCGUAGGUGGUUCGCUAAGUCCGUUGUGAAAGCCCCGAGCUCAACUUGGGAAUUGCAGUGGAUACUGGCGAGCUAGAGUGCGGUAGAGGAAGGUGGAAUUCCCGGUGUAGCGGUGAAAUGCGUAGAGAUCGGGAGGAACACCAGUGGCGAAGGCGGCCUUCUGGACCAGCACUGACACUCAAGCACGAAAGCGUGGGGAGCAAACAGG